AACGUAGGAGACAAACGUUAUCCGGAGUUACUGGGCGUAAAGGGCGUGUAGGUGGUAUCGUAAGUCUGGCGUGAAAUUUCUCGGCUUAACCGAGGCAGGUCGUCGGAUACUGCGAGGCUAGAGGACGGUAGAGGCGUGUGGAAUUCCGGGUGUAGUGGUGAAAUGCGUAGAGAUCCGGAGGAACACCAGUGGCGAAGGCGACACGCUGGGCCGUACCUGACGCUGAGGCGCGACAGCGUGGGGAGCGAACGGG
rnacentral:rRNA from 1 species